GUCCCCUGUGGGAGAUGAGAAGGGUCCCCGCAUUGGGCUCUUGGGGACCCGUCUUGGACAUGAGUGAGGAUGAAGAGGGUCCCGGCAUUGGGCUCUGGAAUGUGACUUAAAAUGGACUUAGGCCUGUAACAGACAUCUCAUGUCUGACAGAAAAUAUUUACAAUCAGGACAUUACUAGAGAAGCAGAAAAAAGCUAAUCACCUCCCUCCUGAGCCAGGAUGGAAUGGAGGAGGGGACUGUGGACCCCAGAUAAUUCCCGCGUCACCACUGUGACUCUAACAACCUCUUAAAUCACAGCCAACAUCUAUCCCACAGGAAGGACUUUAUAUCCCCUAGAAAAUACAGAGGAAGUCAGCUCUGAGCUUUUCCAUGACCAGCCCAGCCAAGGAGCAAGGCUGGGCACAACCUGGGUAAAGAUGUGAGCCCAGACCAUGGGACCAGUGGGUGAAGGAAAAUCGCGUGGGCUGAGGGAGUGGGUAAGCAGGGGCCAUCCCUCCUCUCUGUUUCCUUUGGGGCUGAGCCCUUCUCUGGAAACCACAGAUCUCCUCCAGCAGCAGCCUCUGACUCUGCUGAUUUGCAUCACGGGCCGCUCUCUCCAGCAAGGGGAUAAGAGAGGCCUGGGAGGAACCUGCUCAGUCUAGGCCUAAGGAAGCAGCAUUGGUGGUGCCUCAGCCAUGGCCUGGACCGUUCUCCUCCUCGGCCUCCUCGCUCACUGCACAGGCUCUGCGACCUCCUAUGAGCUGACUCAGCCACCCUCGGUGUCAGUGGCCCCAAGACAGACGGCCAGGAUUACCUGUGGGGGAAACAACAUCGGAAGUAAAAUUGUGCACUGGUACCAGCAGAAGCCAGGCCAGGCGCCUGUGCUGGUCAUCUACGAUGAUAGCGACCGGCCCUCAGGGAUUCCUGACCGAUUCUCUGGCUCCAACUCAGGGAACACUGCCACCCUGACCAUCAGCAGGGUGGAAGCCGGGGAUGAGGCCGUCUAUUACUGUCAGGUGCGGGACAGUAGUAGUGAUUAUCCCACAGUGACACAGGCAGAUGAGGAAGUGAGACAAAAACACCCUCCCAGCCUCAGUGACCCUCUUGCUUCAGCCCUGGGAAGACUAUUGAUAAAGCCAUGAGUGGAUCUGGCCCGGUUCACCUGGAUCUGAGCCUUUCAGGCUGCCCUUCCCUCCAGCCCCCUCCAGGAGUCUCUACAGAGCAUACAUCAGACAUACACAUGGCCCGGAAGGGCCAGAAUCAUCUGGUGACUUGGGGCUGUUGUGUGAGUUAGAGAAUGAGGGCCUGGGUGGAAAGACAAACAGAGGCAACCUCUGUCCACUGUCCUGUCCCUGGAUGGUCAUAUGGUGGAGACGGAGCCAGUCCUUACACCAACUGUCUGGAUCUGUCCCCAGAUCUGCUGCCCAGCCCUGCUGAGGUCCUGGCCCCCAGGCUGUGUGGCAGCCUGUGAUUCCCAACAGAGCAAACCAGAGGAAUGGACACUGUGAACUCUGCCCAGAUCACCUCCUCAAUGUGACCCACCUAGCAUUGCUGAGAAGCCCAGCAGCUCAGAGCCGUGCCCACACUGGGAAGUGCUGUUGGUUGCAGAAAGCUUCCUCAAGUUUAUGUCCCUUCUCAGAGGGGUUCAGUUUAAUGAACCAAGAUCUCAAGUCCCUGCCUCAAUGUAAGACACCACUGAAUGAAGGGCCUCCCAGCUCCAGAGCUCCCUCUGUGGAGCCUGAGGCCUCAUUGGCAACCCCAUCAUGAGUCAGGGUCUCCUUCUGCCAGUGUUGCCUCCCUCACUCCCUUCUAAAUCUUCUGUGCAUUGUAAUCUCCAUCUCAGAGCUGGCUUGCAGCGAACCCCAUGGAAGAUGGCCAACUGCCCCUACAUGGGCCACCAGGGACCUGAAGAGACCACUAUGCACUGAAAACUCUGGUUUCUGUCCUAAAGUUUCAGAGUAAAUGAUGAAAUGCCCAAUCUGAUGGUUCCUGAAACUUUUAUGGAAUGAAGGGAAUCUGACCUGGCAGGUGCUCUGGGUUGAGGGAGAGUUGGAGUCAGGUCUCCCUUCAAGGAACCCCGGGGCAGGCAGAGCAGCCACACCCCACGCAGGGACCACAGAUGCACCCAGAGGGUGGGCUGCAGGAUGGACACUGCCCACUUCUUCUGCAAAUAUCGCUCCUUCCUACACUCCCAACCAGAUAUGUAGAUGUGAUUGAUUAACUAGGUAAAACACAGGUCACUUGUCACAUCAAAAGUCACUGCAGGUCACCCUGGUCAACAGAAAAACCAUUCACAUUCCCAUCAACUACACAGUCCCCAAAUCACUGAUC